rnacentral:lncRNA from 9 species
UUUCUUACCUGCAUAGCUACUUGUGUGACCUUUUUAUUGUAACGGGGGCGUGAUGAGCAGUGGGUCACCUUCAGACACUGGAUGUCCCUUCUCUCCUCUGCCUCCAGGGCACCUGUCACACCAGCAUGUGUGGAUUCUGGUCAGUCUGGAGGUUCCGGCUUUUCUUUCUCUGCCCACAGACCCCGCUGUUGGUGUGAUGUGUGGUUUCCCGCCAUCUGGUCUGGGGACCCCCUUUCUCUGAUCAUCCCUAACUAUCUGCCUGCUGGAACACAGUCUUUCUCAGUUCCACUGCUUCAUGUAUUCAUUGGACAACGACUUAUCGAUCAGAGGGUCCUCGGAGACAGUCACCACGCUGCUUCCAGCCAACGAGCCAGCUCUCCCUACACCAGGCACCUCGACCUGGCUCAUGUACAGAAUGGAAUACUACUCAGCCAUAAAAAAUGAGUGAGCUAAUGCCUUUUGCAGCAGGAUGGGUGGCCAUGGAGAUGAUCCUGCUACGUGAAAUUAGACGAAGACAAAUACAUUAUGACCUCACUUCUGUGUGGAAUCUAAAAUAGGGCAGAGCUUGUCUACAGAACAGAAACAGACUCACAGACACAGAGAACACACUCGUGGUUGCCAAGGGGGAGGGAGUGGGAUGGACAGAGAGUUUGGGGUUCGUAGAUGCAAACCCUGACACUGAGAAUGGAUCAGCCAUGAGGCUGUGCUGUGCAGCACAGGGAACCCUAUCCAGUCUCUUGGGAUAGACCAGGAUGGAAGAUAAUGUAAGAAAAAUAUGUAUAUGUAUGUAUGACAGGGUUACCUUGCUGUGCAGCAGAAGUUGGCACAACAUUGUAAGUCGACUGUACUUUAAUAAAAAGAGAAACCAGAACAGGGGGAUUGAAUGCGGCUCGAGGCUUUUGUGGAGCACCCUGCAGGUGUGUGGCUCGCGGCCAGGUGCCACGGAGGCAGAAUGAGGACUUCCUGCCGCAGGUGUGGUGGACACGUGGAGCAGAUCAUCUGGAUGCCGUGUAAAACUGCAGCGAGGCUGUCUGAGGGGGACACAGCUUUGGGGCAAGAAGACUUGCUGGUCUUUCCUGAGUUGUGGGUUUUUUCACUGAAGUAGAGUUGAUGGACAAUAUUGUGCCAAUGUCAGGUGUGUAUCAAAGUGAUUCGGUCAUACACAUAUUUAUGUUCUUUUUCAGAUUUUUUUCCAUCCUGGGCUAUUACAGGAUACUGAGUAGAGUUCCCUGCGCUGUACAGUAGGCCCUCGUGGUUUAUCUAUUUUAUGUACAGUCGUGUGUCCGUGUUAUUCCUAAACUCCUAAUUUUUCUCUCUCCCCCUUGGCAACCAGAGUCUGUUCUCCAUGUCUGUGAGUCUGUUUCUGUUUCGUAGAAAAGUUCACUUGUGCCACGGUUUAGAUUCCACAUACAAGGGUUACUUAUCUAUUUUAUACGCAGUGCUGUGUGUCUGUUCAUCGCAAACAGCCAGUGUAUCCCUCCCUUGCUUUCCCCUUUAGGAACCACAAGUCUCUUUUCUGUGGGUCUGUUUCCAUUUUGUAAAUAAGCUCAUCUGUGUUAUAUUUUAAACUCUA